GGAUUAGAUACCCUGGUAGUCCACGCAGUAAACGAUGAGUGCUAGAUGUUGGAACUUUGUUUUAGCGUCGAAGCUAACGCGUUAAGCACUCCGCCUGGGAAGUACGACCGCAAGGUUAAAACUCAAAGGAAUUGACGGGGACCCGCACAAGCGGUGGAACAUGUGGUUUAAUUCGAUACUACGCGAAAAACCUUACCAAGUCUUGCAUGUUGGUUGUAUGGUUGGGAAACUAACCAGUCACUUCGGGUGGACCAUCACAGGUGUUGCAUGGCUGUCGUCAGCUCGUGCCG
rnacentral:rRNA from 1 species